AGAAGGCAAGGCUGGAGAGGUGAAGAAGUUUGUUGGAGUGGUGACAAAGCUAGUGGGUAGGAGAGCCAGCAUUUGAACAGAGGCAGCCCAGCCCCCAGUAGUUGUCCUACCUAAACCACUAUGCGUCCCCUCCCCAGGAGUCAGUUUUGUGGACUUGAUCAGAAAGUCUUGAAGGGUGUGAGAAGAGGAGAACAGAUGGCUAGCAAGGACCACUUUGGAACAGCAAGAAAGGCCGAGUCCAUCUGCUGGUGACUGGAUCUGACCUGUCCAUGAUACAGCCAGAGGCUGACUGGACAAUCGUGCUCUCUCCUCCCUCCUGCCAACCCUGUGCUCUUCCUUGGUCUUGGACAGGAAAUGCAGAAUGAGACAAGCCAUUCGUUGCCAUUCAUCCAUCCUACAGAAUCAGAGCCCCAGCCCCAGAGCCACUGGCUACGAAUACCCCUUGCAGAACAAGAUGGGUUCAUCAGCACAGCCGGCAGCAGCUGACCACCAAACUUCAAAGGAAAUAUUCUCCAAUCGCUCCUUCCAGAUCCAUCUGGCAGCCUGAGCCUGGCCUCAGCUCAAGUCCAUGAUAAAUGUUCCUUUAAUGCAGAGACUUGCAUUUGGGCUUGGACUCCUCCUCUGUUUUCCCUUCAUGCUAUGGAAAUCAUUUAGUAAUUUGCCAUCAUAAAAAUCAGGCAGAGAACCAGAUAUUUAAUGUCUACAGACAGCACACAGGGUGGAGACAUCACCUCACCAUCAUUGCCAUUCAUGUGCCUUAGCAGGGCUGACAAAAUGCCUUCCUCUCCAGGGUUCUACAACCCAAGCUGCUGUUCUUUCUAGUUGCUGGUGACCUUCACUUUCAUUUCUUGCCCUUGCCAGACACCUAUUUCUAAUAAGGAUCGGCCUUCCCAUUUUGUAGACAGGAUUCUGAUAAGUAUCAGUGUAGGUUGCAUUCAAGACUCAUUUCUUCUCUGAGAUAAGAAUUUGUACCGAUGGGGUUGCAGGCAUAUGGCAGGAUUUAUUAAAGAGCCAGAUAAUUUCUUUCAUUAUUAUCUUCUUAGGCCCAAAUCAUAGGUCUCAAGAGAAAUGUUAGAAAGUGUUGCUUCCCUAGUACACAUAAGAGAAUGGAUAUUUAGCAGAGACAGAAAUGAGUCAGCCUCUCUCCCUGUGUCUCACCUAGGCAUGUGGUGUUAAGGCCAGUACCCCGCAGGGCCCCAGGUUAGAGUGGGGCAAAUUUAUAUUACACAUUUAAAAGGGCCUCUUGAGUGUUAGGCUUAGAACAGGCUGCAGAGGCUGCUGGGCAGCUUCCCAAGGAGAUCUUUAAGAACAUACAGCCAUCUAUUGCACUUGUCUGAGGACAAGCCCUGCAAAGAGGAAGGAUGGGGAAAAAGAUUUCUGAAGGCUACUGCUACCUUGGGGUUUUGGGGGGUCAUUUUUGUUUUAUUUUUAUUUGUUAUGGAUACAGAAUAGUUGUAUGUAUUUAUGGGGUACAUCUGAUGUUUGGAUACAGGGCGUACAAUGUGUAAUGAUCAAAUUAGGAUAAUUGUGGUAUCCAUUACCUCAAGUGUUCAUCAUUUCUUUGUGUUAGGAACAGUUCAAUUCCACUCAUUUAGUUAUUUAAACAUACACAAUAAAUCAUUGUUAACUAUAGUCACCCUAUCAUGCUACUAAACACUAGAUAUUAUUCAUGCUAUCUAACUGCGUUUUUGUACCCAAUAACCAUUCCUACUUUACACCCCCAUUCCUGCUACUCUUCCUUACCUCUGGUAAUCAUCUGUAUCUCCACGAGAUCAAUUUUUUAAAAUUUUUAGUUUCUACAUAUGAGUGAGAACAUGUGAAAAAUGUGUCCUU